ACUUGUAAAGCAUCAGGGAUUAAAUUAACUAAUGAAACCCUAAAAAGUGACGGGGGCAGAAGGGACUGGGAUAACAGUACCACUUUUGGGGGAUACCAAGCUGAGACCAGGGGAUAAAAUGAUCACUGGGUGAUUAUUGUAUGUACCCAAGGCAGGGACUAACUUGUUGAGAAGGGAUUUGAUGAUUAAAUUGGGCAUUCAAAUAGUAAAUUGUUAGACUGGAAUAACAGUGUUAUUAAUGGAGUGCUCUCAGGCCCUGAGAGCAAACAUACAUGGAUAUUCACCUCUGACUGGAAAGACCCUGAAAUGGGGGCGGAAGCAACAAUAUAGGUGGACAAAUUUAUCCAAUUUUACCUCAGGGGUUUACAGGGCCACCUAUCCAUUUGGGUAAAUUCUAAAAAAAAAAUAAAAAUAAUAAUAAUAAAAAUAAAAAUAAAUAGAUUUUGGAGCAAUUACAACCUCCCAAGGAGGUAUUAAUGUUAACAAAUACGUGGAUCAUUUUCUAUUGUCAGGACAGGAGAAAAGAGUUGUGAAGAAAGCUACUAACAAGCUAUUCAACUUUCUGGGAAAGCAGGGCUUGGGAGUAUUGAAAAACAAAUUACAAUAUGGAGAAAGAGAAGUCAGGUAUUUAAGGCAUCUAAUGUCUGAAGGAAAACAGGAUAAAUGCAGAGAGGAUUCAGGGAAUUGUUGAAAAUUAAGAAAGAACUAAAAAGUUUUAAAAGAAAGAUUUUUUUAAGGAAUCAGGAGCUAUGAAGUCUGAAAGAAAAUGGAUACUCCUUGAUGGGAGAGAAAUGCUGAAUAAAGUGAUAAUGAGGCAAAUAUUAACUGUUUUACAUCAAAAGAGUCAUUGGGAGGUGCAAGCAACGUGUGAUGUUGUGCUAAGAAAGUAUGUCUGUGUAGGAAUAUACACUUUAGCGAAGCACAUAUGUAGAGGAUGUACCAUAUGUCAAAAGGUAAAUUUUACUGAGUUACUUGUUUGUCCUAAUUGACCACGUGACUGGAUGGGUGUAAAGCUUUACUGCAAGGGUUAAAGCGGGCCUUAGCGAUUGAGUGGGAUUUUCACAGCCCCUGGCACCCCUCCUCUUCUGGGAAGGUGGAGCGAAUGAAUCAGACAUUAAAGAAGCAAUUAACUAAACUAGUGUUAGAAACCCAACUUCCUUGGGUAAAAUGCUUACUCCUACAGGUUUAAACAGCACCAAGAAAGGACAUAGGAAUUUCACCAUAUGAGAUGCUGUUCAGAUUGCCCUAUCUGGGCAGAAGGGAUGAGAUACCACAAUUCGAAACCAGAGAGUUUUCUUAAGAACUGUAUUCUGGGGUUGUCCUCUUCUUUGUCAUUUCUCAGGACCUGUGGGUUGUCGGCUCAAACCCCACCUUUGGAAUUCCCCAUUCACCACCAUCACCCAGGAAACCGGGUCCUGAUUCGGACCUGGAAAGAGUCAACUCUGGCCUGAAUGGGAAGGACAAUUACUAACCACUGAAACAGCCGUAAGAACUGCGGAAAAAGGUUGGACUCACUAUACUCGAGUGAAGGCAUCCGUCGACGCUAGUACCUGGGAAGCUGUUCCUACAAAAGACUUGUUGGAAGUUGAAAUUGAAUAGAAAAAUCUCAUAGUGGACUCUGAGCAGGAUAAGAGCUUACAAUUGUAAACUAACCUUUUAUUUUCACAGGUAACUAACGACUGUGACUUGUGAUUGAAAGAAAGAACAGACCUAUAGCGAAAUGCAGUGCUCCCAAGGGGGGGGUUGUUAUAGUAGUAGUGUACAUCUUAUUUUUUUGUAUCGAUAAUUAUUUGGAAACCUAAGGUUUAAAAAUAAUGACAGGGAAAAAUUGAUUAUUAAUUUUGUUUUUAGUGAUUCUAGGCCUCAGAGAAGGCCUUGGUCAAUUGGCAACUUGCAAAAGGCAUGACCAGAUAAUAGCAAAAACGGGAUACCCCAUCAAAAUAUGGGUGACUGUGACAGAGGGUUAUGUACCACAUUCUGUCACGUUUG
rnacentral:lncRNA from 1 species